GUGGGGAAUAUUGGGCAAUGGGCGCAAGCCUGACCCAGCAACGCCGCGUGAAGGAAGAAGGCUUUCGGGUUGUAAACUUCUUUUCUCAGGGACGAAGCAAGUGACGGUACCUGAGGAAUAAGCCACGGCUAACUACGUGCCAGCAGCCGCGGUAAUACGUAGGUGGCAAGCGUUAUCCGGAUUUACUGGGUGUAAAGGGCGUGUAGGCGGGAAAGCAAGUCAGAUGUGAAAACCAUGGGCUCAACCCAUGGCCUGCAUUUGAAACUGUUUUUCUUGAGUACUGGAGAGGCAGACGGAAUUCCUAGUGUAGCGGUGAAAUGCGUAGAUAUUAGGAGGAACACCAGUGGCGAAGGCGGUCUGCUGGACAGCAACUGACGCUGAGGCGCGAAAGCGUGGGGAGCAAACAGG
rnacentral:rRNA from 1 species